UUCAACACAAGCUGGCAUAAAGCAAACAAAUUUGAAAAACACGGAUUUGAAAACAUGGCACGCAAAGAAAACUGAAGCUGAGCAUCGUAAUAGAAAAACAAACUCCAUUUUAAGCUUUAUUAACACAUAGAAUGCUCUCAACCAAAAAACAAGACAUCCACACAAAUAAAGCAAAAUUCUAUCUUUCAAAUAAAACAACUCUAGUUUCAUAUUUUAGCUUCCAAUCUAAUAAUAUAAAGUUCGAAAAGCUGUAAAUGUGAAGAUAAUGAGAAGAUACAUGCCUUUUCAGAUACUGGUGAAGACAAAAACGGUGGUGUGCGGUGGAAGUUAGAACGACGUUAAAACAUGAACAAAUGUACCAAUAAGCAUGGCUUUUGCAUCAAUGGCAGUCAUCAUCAAAAAAACAGGGGUUGAAAGUGAACAAAGUCAACAUAGCAUGGCUUGAUCUGAUUUAAUUUUUAUUGUAAUUUAUUUUUGCCUUUAUUCUUAGUUUGUAAUUUGAUUUGGUUUUAAAACUCUAAUUAGAUUUGAAAUUGUAAAUUUAUAAUACAUAAUGAAAUUAUUUAUUGU